rnacentral:rRNA from 1 species
GGCGAGUGGCGAACGGGUGAGUAAUAUAUCGGAACGUACCGAGCAGUGGGGGAUAACUAAUCGAAAGAUUAGCUAAUACCGCAUAUUUUCUGAGGAAGAAAGCAGGGGACCAUUUGGCCUUGCGCUGUUUGAGCGGCCGAUAUCUGAUUAGCUAGUUGGUGGGGUAAAGGCCUACCAAGGCGACGAUCAGUAGCGGGUCUGAGAGGAUGAUCCGCCACACUGGGACUGAGACACGGCCCAGACUCCUACGGGAGGCAGCAGUGGGGAAUUUUGGACAAUGGGCGCAAGCCUGAUCCAGCCAUGCCGCGUGUCUGAAGAAGGCCUUCGGGUUGUAAAGGACUUUUGUCAGGGAAGAAAAGGGCGGGGUUAAUACCCCUGUUUGAUGACGGUACCUGAAGAAUAAGCACCGGCUAACUACGUGCCAGCAGCCGCGGUAAUACGUAGGGUGCGAGCGUUAAUCGGAAUUACUGGGCGUAAAGCGGGCGCAGACGGUUACUUAAGCAGGAUGUGAAAUCCCCGGGCUCAACCUGGGAACUGCGUUCUGAACUGGGUGACUAGAGUGUGUCAGAGGGAGGUAGAAUUCCACGUGUAGCAGUGAAAUGCGUAGAGAUGUGGAGGAAUACCGAUGGCGAAGGCAGCCUCCUGGGAUAACACUGACGUUCAUGCCCGAAAGCGUGGGUAGCAAACAGGAUUAGAUACCCUGGUAGUCCACGCCCUAAACGAUGUCGAUUAGCUGUUGGGCAGCAUGACUGCUUAGUAGCGAAGCUAACGCGUGAAAUCGACCGCCUGGGGAGUACGGUCGCAAGAUUAAAACUCAAAGGAAUUGACGGGGACCCGCACAAGCGGUGGAUGAUGUGGAUUAAUUCGAUGCAACGCGAAGAACCUUACCUGGUCUUGACAUGUACGGAACCCUCCAGAGACGGAGGGGUGCCUUCGGGAGCCGUAACACAGGUGCUGCAUGGCUGUCGUCAGCUCGUGUCGUGAGAUGUUGGGUUAAGUCCCGCAACGAGCGCAACCCUUGUCAUUAGUUGCCAUCAUUAAGUUGGGCACUCUAAUGAGACUGCCGGUGACAAGCCGGAGGAAGG